GACUCCCACUUUUCGUCGCUUCAACCUCCACUUCCGAUGCCACAGUAUCAGAGCAAUGGCAUCCCAGUCCCACAUUGUUGGUUAUCCCCGUAUAGGACCCAAGAGAGAGCUGAAGUUUGCUUUGGAAUCAUUCUGGGAUGGAAGGACUAGUGCUGAGGAAUUACAGGCGGUGGCUGCAGGUGUUAGGUCAUCCAGUUGGAAGCAGUUGGCCAAUGCCGGUAUUAAGUAUAUUCCCAGUAACACCUUCUCAUACUAUGAUCAGAUGCUGGACACCACCGCCAUGGUUGGCGCUGUGCCCACUAGAUAUGGUUGGCAAAGCGAUGAGGUUGGAUUUCAGACUUACUUUUCCAUGGCAAGGGGAAAUGCUAAUGUUCCUGCUAUGGAAAUGACCAAAUGGUUCGACACUAACUACCAUUACAUUGUACCUGAACUAGGCCCUCACAUGAGGUUCUCUUAUGCGUCUCACAAGGCAGUGGAUGAAUUCAAAGAGGCCAAAUCUCUUGGAGUGGAGACCGUUCCUGUCCUUAUGGGACCUGUAUCGUACUUGUUGCUAUCAAAACCAGCUAGAGGAAUUGAACAAUCCUUUUCCCCCCUCUCCCUAAUGGGUUAUAUUCUUCCGGUUUACAAGGAGGUUGUUAUUGAACUGAAGGCAGCUGGUGCAAAGUGGGUCCAGUUUGAUGAGCCCACCCUUGUAUGGGAUCUUGAUGCCGACCAGUUGCAAGCAUUUACGCAUGCCUACUCAGAGCUAGAGUCAUCUUUAUCUGGUUUGAAUGUUCUGAUUGAGUCAUACUUUUCUGAUGUUACAGCUGACACCUACAGGACACUUACCUCUUUGAAGGGUGUUUCUGGUUAUGGGUUUGACCUGGUUCGUGGAGCAAAGACCCUUGAUUUAAUCAAGGCUGGAUUCCCUUCUGGCAAACAACUCUUUGCUGGAGUGGUUGAUGGAAGGAAUAUAUGGGCCAACGAUCUUGCAUCUUCCCUUGGUACCUUGCAGGAGCUUGAGGACAUUGUUGGAAAAGAUAAGAUUGUGGUCUCUACAUCCUGCUCUCUUCUCCACACUGCAGUUGAUCUAGUGAACGAGACUAAGUUAGAUAAAGAGAUCAAAUCAUGGAUUGCAUUUGCAGCCCAAAAAGUUGAUGAAGUAAAUGCCUUAGCUAAUGCAUUAUGUGGACACAAAGAUGAGGCACUUUUCUCCGCCAAUGCUGCAGCUCAAGCUUCAAGAAAAUCCUCCCCAAUGGUGACAAAUGAGGCUGUCCAGAACGCUGCUGCUGCUCUGGAUGGCUCUGAGCAGCGUCGGGGUACAGAUGUAGGUGGAAGGCUGCAUACUCAGCGAAAGAAGCUAAACCUUCCUAUUCUUCCAACAACCACAAUUGGAUCUUUCCCUCAGACGAUGGAUAUUAGAAGAGUGCGCCGGGAAUACAAGGAUAAGAAAAUCUCGCUGAAAGAUUAUGUCGAUGCGAUCAAGGAGGAAAUCAACAAAGUUGUCAAGCUCCAGGAAGAACUGGAUAUUGAUGUGUUGGUACAUGGAGAACCCGAGAGGAACGACAUGGUUGAAUAUUUUGGAGAGCAAUUAUCUGGUUUUGCCUUCACUUCCAAUGGGUGGGUCCAAUCCUAUGGUUCCCGUUAUGUCAAGCCACCUAUUAUAUAUGGUGAUGUGAGCCGACCCAAACCCAUGACAGUUUUCUGGUCUUCACUGGCUCAGAGCAUGACAAGAACCAAUGAAGGGAAUGCUCACCGGACCAGUUACAAUUAUGAACUGGUCUUUCGUGAGAGACGAUCAACCCCGAUUUGAGACGUGCUAUCAGAUUGCUUUGGCCAUGAAGGAUGAGGUUCAGGAUCUUGAGAAAGCUGGUAUUACUGUGAUCCAAAUUGAUGAACCUGCUCUAAGAGAAGGUUUGCCUUUGAGGAAUUCUGAGCAGGCUUUCUAUCUAGAUUGGGCCAUCCGCUCCUUCAGGAUAACUAACUGUACUGUUCAAGACACUACGCAGAUACACACCCACAUGUGCUACUCAAAUUUCAAUGACAUCAUUGGUUCUAUCAUUGACAUGGAUGCCGACGUGAUCACAAUUGAGAACUCCAAAUCAGAUGAGAAGCUGCUAUCAGCUCUCCCUGAGGGAGUACACUUUGGUUCUGGCAUUGGUCCUGGUGUUUAUGAUGUUCACUCACCAAGGAUCCCAUCUGACAAAGAACUUCGUGACAAGAGUAAGAAUAUCGUUAAGGUCCUUGAAAACAAAAAUGUAUGGGUCAACCCGGACUGUGGCCUCAAGACACGCAAGUACUCUGAAGUACGGCCUGCUCUCAGUAAUAUGGUUGCUGCUGCCAAGUACAAUCGGGAGAUGUUGGCAAAGUAGAUUCUAUGAUCGAAAAUCGGUAGUUUUUUUUAGUACUUUUAAGUCUUAUGUAAGUGAUAUCUUUUCUAGCAGUCUCUGUAUAUGCUCCGUUUGUAUUUAGCGGUUCUGAGUCUCUAUUUUCCCUUAUAUAGUCUGCUUCUGCUUCAUCUUUUAUAGAAUGUGAGAUAAAGCAAUUAGCCCUUCUUUUGGGCAAAUGUUUCU